AUGGCGCCGUCGUUCCUCGCGAUGAAGGCGGGCGCGGCGUCCGGCGCGUCGGAGGCGGCGCAGGCGCUGCUCGAGUCGGACCUGCGGGAGCUGGGCAUGGCGGCGCGGAAGCUCGCCAACCACGCCAUCGUCCUCGGCGGCGGCCUCGGCUUCGGCCGCCACUUCCUCAAGUGGCUCGCCUUCAUCGCCGCCGUGUACCUCUUGGUAUUGGACCGGACAAACUGGAAGACCAACAUGCUGACCGGACUCUUGGUCCCUUACAUAUUCUUCACCCUGCCUGGUGUGCUGUUCUCUCUCGUAAGGGGAGAGGUUGGUGCCUGGAUUGCAUUCGUUGUAGUCAUCCUGCGGCUCUUCUUCCCGCGUCACUUCCCUGAUUGGCUAGAGCUGCCUGGCUCUCUGAUUCUUCUCACGGUGGUCGCCCCCAGCCUCUUCGCCGACCACUUCAGGAACGACCUCGUCGGCGUCUUCAUAUGCCUCGCCAUCGGGUGCUACCUGCUUCAAGAGCACAUCAGGGUGUCAGGAGGCUUCAGGGAGGCCUUCAGGAAGGCCAAUGGCGUGUCCAACACCAUCGGCAUCGUCCUGCUCUUCGUCUACCCAGUCUGGGUCCUGGUGCUCUGGCUCCUGUAG
rnacentral:rRNA from 1 species